CCUACGGGUGGCAGCAGUGGGGAAUAUUGGGCAAUGGGCGCAAGCCUGACCCAGCAACGCCGCGGGAAGGAAGAAGGCUUUCGGGUUGUAAACGUCUUGUGACAGGGAAGAGCAGAAGACGGUACCUGUCGAAUAAGCCACGGCUAACUACGUGCCAGCAGCCGCGGUAAUACGGAGGUGGCAAGCGGUGUCCGGAUUUACUGGGUGUAAAGGGCGUGUAGCCGGGCUGACAAGUCAGAGGUGAAAUCCGGGGGCGCAACCCCCGAACGGCAUUUGAAACUGUUGGUCUUGAGUAUCGGAGAGGCAGGCGGCUUUCCUAUUGUAGCGGUGACCUGCGUAGAUCUUAGGAGGCACCCCAGUGGCGACGGCGGCCUGCUGGACGACACCUGACGGUGAGGCGCGAACGCGUGGGGAGCAAACAGGCUUAGAUACCCUAGUAGUC
rnacentral:rRNA from 1 species